GGCCAGGGUAAUCCAUCAGAUGGAUUUGAUAUUUUAAAAUACAAUGUGGACAACCUGAUCAGAGUUAAUAGUUGAACUCUAGGGUGUCCUAUGAUCAUUUUGGUCAAGGGGAUGAAUUAUAUGAAAACUAUAUCCGCAUGGGUUCUAAGGAUGUUGUUCUACACAUUCGACCUAUCCGAUCGUCGGGUACCAUUGCUAGAUGGUCCUUCGAUUGGUAUAAAAAUUUGUU
rnacentral:lncRNA from 1 species